rnacentral:sRNA from 1 species
GAUCUCAGAGGUCAACAUCCAACGGCGCGAUGCGUUCUUGGAUGCCACUUUG